AGUGAACGCUGGCGGUAGGCCUAACACAUGCCAGUCGAACGGCAGCACAGUAAGAGCUUGCUCUUACGGGUGGCGAGUGGCGGACGGGUGAGGAAUAAAUCGGCAUCUACUUUUUCGUGGGGGAUAACGUAGGGAAACUUACGCUAAUACCGCAUACGACCUACGGGUGAAAGCGGGGGAUCUUCGGACCUUGCGCGAUUGAAUGAGCCGAUGUCGGAUUAGCUAGUUGGCGGGGUAAAGGCCCACCAAGGCGACGAUCCGUAGCUGGUCUGAGAGGAUGAUAAGCCACACUGGAACUGAGAGACGGCACAGACUCCUACGGGAGGCAGCAGUGGGGAAUAUUGGACAAUGGGCGCAAGCCUGAUCCAGCCAUACCGCGUGGGUGAAGAAGGCCUUCGGGUUGUAAAGCCCUUUUGUUGGGAAAGAAAAGCAGCAGGUUAAUCCCCCGCUGUUCUGACGGUACCCAAAGAAUAAGCACCGGCUAACUUCGUG
rnacentral:rRNA from 1 species